rnacentral:rRNA from 1 species
GUGAGGAAUAUUGGUCAAUGGGCGAGAGCCUGAACCAGCCAAGUCGCGUGAAGGAAGAAGGAUCUAUGGUUCGUAAACUUCUUUUGCAGGGGAAUAAAGUGCGGGACGUGUCCUGUUUUGUAUGUACCCUGAGAAUAAGGAUCGGCUAACUCCGUGCCAGCAGCCGCGGUAAUACGGAGGAUCCGAGCGUUAUCCGGAUUUAUUGGGUUUAAAGGGUGCGUGGGUGGUUUGAUAAGUCAGCGGUGAAAGUUUGCAGCUUAACUGUAAAAAUGCCGUUGAAACUGUCGGACUUGAGUGUAAAUGAGGUAGGCGGAAUGCGUGGUGUAGCGGUGAAAUGCAUAGAUAUCACGCAGAACUCCGAUUGCGAAGGCAGCUUACUAAGCUACAACUGACACUGAAGCACGAAAGCGUGGGGAUCAAACAGGAUUAGAAACCCGUGUAGUCC